AGAGCUGCGGUCAGGCCACCGGUGUCCUCGUCCAUCAAUCGCUAACCAGGUGAGAAUGUGUUCUCUAAACACCUUUAGCAAGAUGACAUAGGGACCGCGGCCUUCGGGCAGAACUGUGUGUGCUUGGAGGUGGCAAGUGGAGGCACAGAUGUGUUUUCUUCUGGGUGAAGGAGUCUCCACACUCCCUCCAUGAUAGUGCCUGGGGCAUGGGCCUCCCUGGCAGAAUAGCUGGCCCCAGCUGGGGACUCUAGGUCUGCUUUAAAAUGCUCUAGGGCUUCUGGAUGUGCUCAAGGAAUGGGCUUAAAUUCAGAGCAGGGAAGAAAAACAAGCCCAUGGACCAAACAAGUCCUGCACCAUUAGAUCAAGGAGACAUUGCUGUGCUGGAAAACAGGAGUCAUUUGUGAGAUAAAUGUACUGCUGGGAGACUUGACCUUGUUCCACCCGCAAUACCGUGUGUGGUUAUUCAUGGGACUUCUUGGGUAAAUCAGCUGAGCUCAGAGCUGCAAAGAGGCUUAUAGGCCUUCCCAUUGAGCAUGAGAAUGAAUGAGUAAGUGGCUGUAGCCAUAAGCUGUCACUGGUACCAACUGAGAUAUGGUGGAUGCUGGGCCCCUGAGGAGUCACAGUCAGUGGGGAGACAAGGAAUGAGGCUGUUGUGCACUGGGCCAGGUGCAAGAGAAUCGCCACCUCUCACUCUACCAAGCCAGGAGUGGGAUGAAUGGGAAGAACACCAGAGGAGAGGGUGCCUCGUGCUGAUUCCCAGGGCAGGUGGAGACAAGGAGAAACAGCCUGUGCCGAGCCCAACACACACAAGCUUGCCUGCCGAGCCCAAUGCAUGCCAGUGUGCAUCCGGGAAUUCUAUCUGCUUUCUGGCCCUCUCCAGGGUUCCUCCGCAUCCUAUGCAUGAUACAUUGACUUGCCUCCUGGCAUCUGUCUCCUUUAAUGACCAUGCCCUUCUCUAGGAGAGAAAGACAGUCUUUCUCAUCUGUUUCUCGGCACCCAGCACGCAGCCAGGUAGAGCGGAUGACCAGUAAGGUGUGGCUGAAUGGACUUGGUGACUACUCGUGUUACUCAGAGAUUAAGGCACAAGCCCACUAAGAAACCUACGCAGGACAGCCUGACGUGGCUCCCCACCAGGGGCUCCCUAUGAGACGCCGCACUGGAUACAGGCUGGUGGACCCCCGCACGUGUGUUCUGUUCUCAAAUGUCUCCUUCACCACGAAUCACCUGCAUCCUCCCACCAGCUCUUUCUCUGCCCCCUUCUGAGGCUCCUUCAGCAGUUGGCUGCUCCGAAUAUUAAAAAUCCAGGCAGGAAUUUGCCCACAAAUCAGGUUUGGGAUUUCCUGAUAGCAGGAGCUGAGCUGGUCAUCUCCGGAUCCCCCAGACCUAGCAUGGAUACUGAAUGGAAUACUUUUAGAAGAUGAACAUCUGGAAUAAUGCUUGACGAAAUACCUGAGUACAGACUGUGACCCAGUCAAGCUGACACAUGAAAUUAACCAUCACACUGUCGGACUCUGGGCAAGUGCCUCACUUAUCUUUGAACUUUACUUUCCUUGGAAAAUGAGGGAUGACUUUAUUUAGAGGGUUUGAGGCCAGUCUGGGCAACAUAGUAAGACAUCAUCUCUGGUAUAAAAAAACAAAACUUAGCUGGGUAUGGUGGCAUGUGCCUGUGGUCCUAGCUACUGGGGAGGCUGAGGCGGGAGGAUCACCUGACUCCAAGAGGUCGAGGCUGGAGUGAGCAGUGAUCACAUCACUGCACUCCAGUCUAGGAGACUCUGUCUCCAAAAAAAAAAAGAUAAAUAUGUUUGGAGUCUGUUCUCCAUUAUAAAUUUGGUGAUUCAUUGCUUUUAAGGGGCCAAUCAUGAGAAUGCCAAGUCCUCUUUGCACAGGGAUGUAAGAAGCUGCACGUUACAGAGGCCCAAAUGUGGGUUCAUGGGCAGGUCGGGGUCCCACUUAGCAGGCCUGUGAUAUCAAGAAGGUGCUUGACACCACGGCCUCAGUCCCCUCCUCAGAUCCCUCACCCAGUUGUGGGUGUGAGGAUUUAAGUGGAGGCCCAGUUUCAGACAGAGUGGCUGCUCACUCAAGGCUGGUCGCUCUCACCAGAUCUGUGUCUAUAGAGCACUUAGAAAAUUCCCCAACUGGGAAACAGAUACCACCUUGCAUUACAGACUGUAUGUUUUUUACCCUUUGUUUUGCUAAUAGAAUGCUGAAUGAUUCACCAAGCAGACUUUUUAAAACAAAUUAACAGAAUUGACUUAGCUAAACAAAUACGUUUUUUGUAUCAGUUGCAUAUACAACGAUAUAUAGGUCCUUUGAAAUUAGAACUUGAGACUAGUAGCCAGUUAUGACUCCUGAGCUCCUAGAAAGAAAAAAAAAAAAAAACCUGGCCGGGCACAGUGGCUCACACCUGUAAUCCCAGCACUUUGGAAGGCCAAGACGGGCGGAUCACUUGAGGUCAGGAGUUCGAGAGCAGUCUGGACAACGUGGUGAAACCCCGUCUCUACUAAAAUACAAAAAUUAGCCGGGCGUGGUGGUGCACAACUGUAGUCCCAGCUACUCAGGAGGCUGAGGUGGGAGAAUUGCUUCAACCCGGGAGGCGGAGGUUGCAGGCAGUUAGCCGAGA
rnacentral:lncRNA from 1 species